ACAUAUACCGUUCCGAAGCAGUCUCGAAGUAAGCCAAUCGAUUGGAACAGUGAAAGGGGUCAUCAAACGUUGAGCGCCAGGCAGUAUUCAGAUCCAGAUGCAUAAAGUUCCAGUACCUUUAAGAGGGCCGUUUUAUAUCCCUAGUAUUGCCCAAUCAUCGUCAUUAGGGUGAUGCAAAAGGGAAGUUAAAGAAAAUUUCAUUUCACAAUUCACAUGAUGCUUACCGCAUAACACAUUUUCAAUAGAUUUGGUAGUAGCUGCAGUUUCAUAUUCCAAUGGUGGUAGGCAGCCGGGCAGUCAAUUAUUCCACUGGUCCAGACGAUCAACAAUUUAAUCAAUUGGUCCAGACGAUCAUCCGUUGGUCCAGCCGAUUAGCCGUUGGUACAGACACCACAUUUAUUGACGAACACUUCUGGGGAAAUACAAUCAACUAAAGAAUCACAUAUCAUCAUAAUGUUAGGAUCCACUUAUCUGAAGCACAAGCAGACGAAACAGUAUUCCAAAUUUCAGCAAUAGUCCCGACAUAACCUCAUUAAUGGCUACCACGAAAAGAAGUUUUUUUUUUUUUUUUUUGUCGCGCAAUUUGAUUACACGCAGGUUAAUUAGCUCAGUUUAAUAAUUUAACGUAAAGGAGCGCAUUUGGAAAUCAAUUGAAGUUAAUUGCACGAUUUAGUUUAAAGGAAAAUCACUGGACACUUCACAUGAUAAUAACGACGCGUUGCAACAUGGUCAACUGACUGACAGCUGUUUAGAUCUAGGUCACCGACACGUAUUAAUUGUAUAAAAAAAAUUUGGACGUUUGAUUGGAUGCACACUAACUUGUAGUUGUGCGAUUGUUGUUGAUUCUGUCAUUUUAAGAACUUUCAAAUCACAUCGUUUCGGGCUGGUUUCAACCGGGGUCGACUCGGCCAGUUGUUGCGAUGGCGAUUUGAAAUGUUCAAAUUUUAUAGCGUCGAGUUUAGUUUAAACAUAAAUGUUUCAAGUCGGGAAGUGGUUCCGAAACCGUUCGGUAAUGUUUGAAUGAAAGUGUUAUACUUUGUGAACUAACUGAUAGAAGAGCCAUCUAGCACUGAGUUUGUAAAUCGGCAGGUGAACUUUGAACAUAUAAGCGCGAAUGACUAUUAUGUAUAGUGUUAUGUAUAUAGGUUACAACGGAGGUUCAAUUAGUUUUAAGAUUCAUUCUGUUAUAGCAUCCAGUAGAUGUAAGAUAGAAACGAAUAAAUAUUGUAACUAUAGUCGAA